rnacentral:rRNA from 1 species
UACGAAGGGGGCUAGCGUUGUUCGGAAUCACUGGGCGUAAAGCGCACGCAAGCGGAUUGAUAAGUCGGGGGUGAAAUCCCGGGGCUCAACCUCGGAAUUGCCUUCGAUACUGUCUGUCUUGAGUCCGGGAGAGGUGAGUGGAAUUCCUAGUGUAGAGGUGAAAUUCGUAGAUAUUAGGAAGAACACCAGUGGCGAAGGCGGCUCACUGGCCCGGUACUGACGCUCAUGUGCGAAAGCGUGGGGAGCAAACAGG